UACAGAGGUCUCAAGCGUUGUUCGGAUUCAUUGGGCGUAAAGGGUGUGUAGGUGGCGCGCUAAGUCGGGUGUGAAAUUUCGGAGCUUAACUCCGAAACUGCAUUCGAUACUGGCGUGCUUGAGGACUGGAGAGGAGACUGGAAUUCCCGGUGUAGCGGUGAAAUGCGCAGAUAUCGGGAGGAACACCGGUGGCGAAGGCGGUUCUCUGGGCCUUACCUGACGCUGAGGAGCGAAAGCGUGGGGAGCGAACAGG
rnacentral:rRNA from 1 species